GCGUCCGUAGCUCAGUUUGGAUAGAGCAUCGGUUUCCGGGGCCGAAGGUCGCAGGUUCAAAUCCUGCCGGACGCG
rnacentral:tRNA from 2 species